rnacentral:rRNA from 1 species
CCUACGGGUGGCAGCAGUGGGGAAUAUUGGACAAUGGGCGAAAGCCUGAUCCAGCCAUGCCGCGUGUGUGAAGAAGGCCUUCGGGUUGUAAAGCACUUUCAGUGGGGAAGAAAGCCUUGGGGCUAAUAUCCUCGAGGAAGGACAUCACCCACAGAAGAAGCACCGGCUAACUCCGUGCCAGCAGCCGCGGUAAUACGGAGGGUGCGAGCGUUAAUCGGAAUUACUGGGCGUAAAGCGCGCGUAGGCGGUCUGAUAAGCCGGUUGUGAAAGCCCCGGGCUCAACCUGGGAACGGCAUCCGGAACUGUCGGGCUAGAGUGCAGGAGAGGAAGGUAGAAUUCCCGGUGUAGCGGUGAAAUGCGUAGAGAUCGGGAGGAAUACCAGUGGCGAAGGCGGCCUUCUGGACUGACACUGACGCUGAGGUGCGAAAGCGUGGGUAGCAAACAGGAUUAGAUACCCUUGUAGUC